UAAGGAAUAUUGGACAAUGGCCGCAAGGCUGAUCCAGCCAUGCCGCGUGCAGGAUGAAGGAGCUAUGCUUUGUAAACUGCUUUUGUUUGGGAAUAAACCCCUGGUUUCUACCGGGGCUGAAUGUACCAAAAGAAUAAGGGUCGGCUAACUUCGUGCCAGCAGCCGCGGUAAUACGAAGGACCCAAGCGUUAUCCGGAUUUAUUGGGUUUAAAGGGUGCGUAGGCGGGUUUUUAAGUCAGUGGUGAAAGCCUACAGCUUAACUGUAGAAUUGCCAUUGAUACUGAAGAUCUUGAGUAUGAUUGAGGUGGGCGGAAUGUGUCAUGUAGCGGUGAAAUGCUUAGAUAUGACACAGAACACCGAUUGCGAAGGCAGCUCACUAAGCCAAUACUGACGCUGAUGCACGAAAGCGUGGGGAGCAAACAG
rnacentral:rRNA from 1 species